rnacentral:rRNA from 1 species
GAUGAACGCUGGCGGCGUGCCUAAUACAUGCAAGUCGAGCGAACAGAUGAGGAGCUUGCUCCUCGGACGUUAGCGGCGGACGGGUGAGUAACACGUGGAUAACCUACCUAGAAGACUGGGAUAACUUCGGGAAACCGGAGCGAAUACCGGAUAAUAUAUUGAACCGCAUGGUUCAAUAGUGAAAGACGGUUUUGCUGUCACUUAUAGAUGGAUCCGCGCCGCAUUAGCUAGUUGGUAAGGUAACGGCUUACCAAGGCAACGAUGCGUAGCCGACCUGAGAGGGUGAUCGGCCACACUGGAACUGAGACACGGUCCAGACUCCUACGGGAGGCAGCAGUAGGGAAUCUUCCGCAAUGGGCGAAAGCCUGACGGAGCAACGCCGCGUGAGUGAUGAAGGUCUUCGGAUCGUAAACCUCUGUUAUUAGGGAAGAACAAAUGUGUAAGUAACUAUGCCCGUCUUGACGGUACCUAAUCAGAAAGCCACGGCUAACUACGUG